CCCCUGGUUGGGUGGUCUAGCCUCACGGUUAGCACUGCUUUGGCCGGGGGUUUCCUUCUAGCGAACUAUCGUGCUCUUAACUGGGUGUGGUAGGGAACUAGGACUUUUACUUUGAAAAAAUUAGAGUGUUUAAAGCAGGCUCGCGCUUGAAUACAUUAGCAUGGAAUAAUGAAAUAGGAC
rnacentral:rRNA from 1 species